UGUGUGGCGUCCUCUCGUUCCGGGCAUCCGUUCGGGCAAUAUGCGAGUGUUUCCGGUUCCAAUCUGCUGAUGAAGUGGUUUAGUUUGUUGUGGCCGCUGCGUAGUCGGAAGAAGGCUGAUUGGAUAGUUCUUUUCUUAUUGGUGUGCCAUGUGGCAUUGCGUCGGUCCUUCCGGAUGUUUGUCGCCAGUUGGUCUGCGAUUUCGUUUCCAACGAUUCCGGCGUGUGAGGGUAUUGCUGGGCUUGACUCCCAUUUGAAGUUGGAUAUUGCUUGAAUGGAAGAUUUUGAAUCAGUGAAGAUGUUGGCUGAGUCCAUCUCGUACUUGUUGAGGUAUGUGGAAUGCACAGCUGGCAGUUUUUGUUGUCUCGCACACUGAUCCAUCAGUGUAUACUUCAAGGUGGUUGGUGUUUGGAUUACGAGAGUCCUUCUAUCCAUGUGUUGUCGUACGCCUUCGAGAUGUCCAGGAAUAUUGCUGUGGUUGGGUGGCUGCUGUUUAAGCCGGAUUUGAUGGCUGAUGCUAUUCGGAUUAGAUUGUCGGUGGUGGUACAUCCUCUUCGGAAUCCGGUUUGGACUUUCGGCAUGAUGUCAAUGAGACUGGUCUGUACGAUUCCGCUUCUCCGGGUGGAUUGCCUGGUUUGAGGAUGGGUGUGACGAUGGCACAUUUCCAAUCUUUUGGGAUGUAUCCUUCCCUGAACAUCAAGUUGAUUGUUGUGAGUAGACUCUUACGAUUUCCACCGUUUAAGUUUUUCAGCAUUCUGUUGUGGAUUCUGUCAAGGCCCAUCGCUUUGUCUGGUAGUUGGGAGAGGCUCCUUGUCAAUUCUUGAAUGGUGAAGUUAGAGUUGAGGGGUUCGGCAUCCGGGUUCUUGAUUUGUUUUUCAAUUUCCUUUACUUGCUCUGGCCUUGUUGGUGGGAUGUCAUCGUCGAUAGGGGAGAACUGCUCCAAGAAAAUGUUGGCUUUCUCCACUGGGUCUCUUGUUUGUUCACCUUUCUGGUUGUUGAGGGGGGCAUUGAUGGUUUCUCUCCGUCCGUUCAUCAUUGUUUUUGCGAAUUUCCAAAACUUUGAUGUGUUUUUUCCGUCUAGUGAGUCGAUGUGUCUUUCCCACGAGCUAUUUUUUGAUUCUAGGAUUGUCCUCUUCUUAAUUGCUUCCAUUUUGUUGAGGUGUGUUUUGUCGGUUUGGAGUAAUCGAACGCGUAUUUAGUACCGCAGCAGAUAUUCUUCACGCUAAACGUAGCAGAAUGAAAGCCGAUCUUUUCCAAA
rnacentral:lncRNA from 1 species